UUGAGACAAGGUCUCUCGCCAGUCUGGAACUUGCUGAUGAGGCUAGCCCAGCUGCCUAGCAAGCCUAAGGACCUGCCUGGCUCUGCCUCCUUGGCACUGGAAUCACAGCCCUGCACCACCAGUGCCUGAUGUUUUUAUGUGGGUUCUAGGAAUCAAACUCGGGUCCUCACGCUUAUAAGAGCACUUUACCAACUGAGCCAUCUCCCAGGCUAUAUGGCUAUUUUUAUUUAUUUGUUUGUUUGUUUAUUAUUUGUUUUUGUGGUCUUUCAAGACAGGGUUUCUCUGUGUAGCCCUGGCUGUCCUGGAACUCAUCCCAAUCUCAUGUAGCCCAGGCUAGCCUGGAAUUCACCAUGUACUAUGACCACCUAAACCUACUGCCUUCACUGUCUCAGUGCUGAGAUUACAAGCUACUCUAGGCUACAAUAAAUGAUAUUAAUAAAAGCCUAAAAAUUACUAAUUUAUAAAAAAUGUCUAAUUAGGAUGAUUACGCUCUAUAUUUGUAACAAAUAAACAUUAUUCCCACUAGCAAAAUUUGGAGGCGACAAUAAAGAUGUGGCAGGAAGGAGCACUGUCCAGGCCCUUGUGCACAGCUUGGUUGUGAGUUGAGGCACUCAGUGAGUCUCAACAGCACUCUGCAGCUCAGGCUGCUGGUCCCUCAAUCAUUAUUUGGUAGCCUGAUACAUUAUUUAGUACAUCUGGCACAUUUUUACCACUAAAUUACAUAAACCUGUGGUGUUUUCCUUCCUUUGUGCUUAGCUUGUCUUGGGGCUCUUCCCUCCUGCCCAGCCUCACACUUGCUCUUUGUGGGAACUGCUGUCAGGUUAACAUUUAAAGUGUGCUCAGUAAGUGUGAUGGUUAAUGACACUAAUUAUACCAAGCAAUACUGAUUAUAAGUCAAGUCAUGAGCCAUAAGUAUCUGCCAUUAGAACUUCAUACCUUCAAUAUGAGAACAGCUUAUCCAAAUAUUUUAUUUCUCUUGACCAAGGUCCAUGUUUCUAGACAAUCGCCUCUUGUUCCAUUUCUGCUGCUUCCUGGUGAUCUGGAGCUCCAUGCUUAGUCUCCAUGGGCUGGCUAUUCUGUUUUUACACACUGUGCUGAGCCCUGUGGGGAUAAUACUUCAAGCUUUUACCACCCAGACAGUUGUGAAAUAUUAUUUUAAGAUGUGUUACAUUUGUUUAUGCUGUGGAACAUUUGUUUUAAUAAUGCAAAGAUGUGUUGCAUUCUUUUAUGUUGCAUUUGUUUAACUCUGUGAAGCUGUCUAAAAUACCUGAUGGUCUAAUAAAGAACUGAAGCCAAUAGCAAGGCAGGAGAAAGGAUAGGUGGGGCUGGCAGGCCAAGAGAAUAAAUAGAAGGAGAACUCUGGGAGGAGAAGGAGCAAGAGAACAAGGAGAAGAGGAUGCUAGGGGCCAGCCACCCAGCCAGCCAUGGAGUAAGAGUGAAAGUAAGAUAUACAUAAUUAAGAAGAGGAAAAAGCUCAAAGGCAAAAGAUAUAUGGGAUAAUUUGAAGUUAAGAAAAGCUGUCAAGAAACAAGCCAAGCUAUGGCCAGGUAUUUAGAAGAAAAAAUAAGCCUCCAGUGUGUGAUUUGUUUGGGAGCUAGGUGAUGGGCCCCCCCAAAGAGCCCACUUGACCACAAGCCAACAAAAAAUGGGAAGGAGAUGGAGGAGGGAGCAUCUGCCCCACCUGCCACUUGCCCCUCACUGCAGCCUUUGGACCUUCCCAUCAGGUUUACUGGGCUCUGGUUAUUCCAUCUCCUCAGCUUGCCCCUUUGCCUAUGGGUGGGAUGAGCUGCCCACUGCUGGUGGUUUUCUAGACCCUUUCCCGUCUAUGACAGAUCUGUUUAAAGCUGUCUAUACUGAAAACCUUCCUCCAUUCCUCCAUUAUAAUACAUCUCAUGGGCUAUAGUGAGAAUUAAAUAAGUGAAAGCAUCAGCAGGACUCAGAUCAACAGAGGGUGCAAACUGAACAAGAUGGGCGUUAUUAUUGUUACGGCUGCCCCACCAGCUUUUCCUACUCAUCCUGAAAGACAGGACUGAUGUUGCCAAUAAUAGGGAUGACCCAAUUUCCAGAAAGUCUUGGGUGUCUGGAGGCCUCAUGGACCCCCUUCUAUGAAGAUAUCCACAAAAUGGAUGGAGACUAGAAGGAAGUCACAAUGGCCACCCUCGGUGGGCCAGGCCUCAGAGUUUCCUACAUGUGGUAGGCAUAGACUGAAAGGCUUAGACAGUCCUGGAAAGAUUUGGGAUUCAGAAAUUGAACUUCCAAUUAGUUAAAUUUCUUCCAGUUCUGAUUUCAGAUGAUCCUUUGGCUGUAGUCGGAAGGUUUCUUGGGUCCUGCCUGGCCCCCCGAAUGCUGUAGGAUAAUGCUCUUGUACACUGGUUUAAUACAACGCUGAUUGGCCAGUAGUGAGGUAUAGGCAGGGUGAGCAGACUAGGAGAAUGCUGGAAAGAGGAAGGGCAGAGUCAGGAGUCACCAGCCAGACACAAAGGAAGCAAGAUGACCAGGCAGAACUGAGAAAAGGUACCAAGCCAUGUGGCUAAACAUAGAUAAGAAUUACGGGUUGAUGUAAGUGUAAGAGCUAGUCAGUAAUAAGCCUGAGUUAAUGACCAAAACAGUUAUAAAUAAUAUUAAGCCUCUGGUUGAUUAUUUUAUAAGCAGCUGCAGGACCACAGAUGAGAGAUUUGUCCAGACUGUGCGGGGCCAGGUGGGAUGAGAGAAACCUGACUACAUUUGGCCAAUAGGUCAUCAUGCACAGGAGGAUAAAACACCAAGACACAAUUCCUGUACUUCAUAGCUGGGCCCAAGCCAGCCUGCUGACAUCCAGGUUCUGAAGGCCAGGUGAGUCAGAGUGCUGGGAUUAACAGAUCUUACCAAAAAGAGAGUCAGUUACUUGGGUGCAUGCUCACAUUUAUCCUGGUGGAAGUUGGCUGGAGCAGGAACGGAGUGUAUGAGGGGCAUGGAGGGCAUAGAAGGGAACCUAGAGAUAUGUGCUGAGAGUGGGGCCAUCAAGGCUCUAGGAACUUGACAGGAUCCAGAGCUGCUCGGGCUCAACACUCUGAACUUCACAGUUAAGGUCUGUAAGGAUUUUGUCAGUAACUGCCUAAGCUGUGUCUAGUGCAGUGUUUCUCAGCCUUCCUAAUGCUGCGACCCUUUAAUACAGUUCCUCAUGUUGGUGGGGGGGGGGGGACCCCAAUCAUAAAAUUAAUUUCGUUGCUACUUUAUAACUGUAAUUUUGCUACUGUUAUGAAUCAUAAUGUAACUAUCUGAUAUAUAGGAUAUCUGAUAUGAGACACCUGUGAAAGGGUUGUUCUAUCCCAGGGGUUGUGACCAACAGGUUGAGAACCGGUAGUUGAGUGGCACAGCCUGUUAACCCGGCUACUCAGGAGACUGAGGAAGGAUUGAAGGUUCAGAGUUGCCUGGGAGUUCAAGUCUCAAGUGGAUAGCUUACUGAGACCCUGUCUUAAGAUGAAAUUUAAAAGGGCAUGUAGCACAAUAGUAGAGUGUUACCCAGCAUGCACCAGACCCCACUCCAAUUCCCAGAGCUCUAAAUAUGACAUUUAAUUUAGUCUAUCCUGAGAGUGGUUUUGAGUGGCAAAUAAGCAAAGUCAGGCAGAUCUUCCACAGUCCCUGACGUGACUCACAGACUCCAGCUGCUUGCACUCUUUAACACUCCCCAUUACUAAGACCCAUCACAGUUCCUAACACUCAGCUGGUGAGAAUGCUGCAGAUCCAAGUCAAUGAAAGAAACAAGGUGUGUGAGGAAAUUAUCAACAAAUGGGUACUUACAGUAGGUAUCAACCAACCUAGUCUCUCCUUUUCUCACAAAACCAAAGCCCAGGAAAAUUGCAAUGAUUACCUAAAACUCAUACAGUGGGGGGGAGUUGAGCACAGCAGCGGAGAGCUUCAAUAUCUAACUCGGAGCUAGACACUGUGGUUCAGGCCUGGAAUCCCAGCUUGGGAAGCAAGAAGGUCAGAAGCUCAAGGUCAUCCUCAGCUACAUAGUGAGUUUCAGGCCAGCCUGGGCUACACCAGACCCUGUCUCAAUCAGUCAAUCAAUAGUCAAAUUCUGAGGUGAGACCAACAGGGAUUCAAAUUCCAGCAUUUCCAGUCCAGAGCUCUUUGAGCAUGGGGAAGCCUUACUCAUUAAGCUUCUUUGUUCUCACCUGUAAAGGAAAAGUGCUGACAGUCCCUCAUAGACAGUUGUAAAUAUUAAGUGAGAUCACACCUGAAAAUCCAUCAGCAAAUGUCAGUUCUCAUUAUUGGUCUACUUCCAAUAGAAGUGCAAGUUUCUUCUGGAGAGAUGGAUCAGUAGUUAAGAGCACUGGUUGCUCUUGCAGAGGACCUGGGUUUAAUCUCCACCCACUUGGUGGCUCACAACCCUCUUUAACAGUAGUUCCAGGGAAUCUGAUGCUCUCUUCUGGCCUCUGUGGGUUCUGAACAAACAUAUUACAUAUACAUACAUAUAGCCAAAAUAAAACACCCACACUGUCUUAGUUAAGAGUUUCUAUUGCUGUAAGAGACACCAUGACCAUGGCAACUCUUAUAAAGGAAAUCAUUUAAUUAGGGUGGCUUGCUUACAGUUUCAGCAGCAUGUAGGCAGACAUGGUGCUGGAGCUGAGAGUCCUUAUAUCUUGACUCACAGGCAACAGGCAGUGGUCUGUCUCACUGGGUGUGGCUUGAGCAUAUAUGAGACCUCAAAGCCCACCUCUACAGUGACACACUUCCUCCAACAAGACCACACCUACCCUAACAAGGCCACUCUUCCUAACACUGCCACUCCCUUUGAGGGCCAUUUUUUUUUUCAAAUCAUCACAUAUACACAUAAAAUAAAAUCUUAAUAUUUUUUGCAUUUAUUUAUUUAUUGGGACAUAGGUGGGUGUAUGUGUCAUGACUCACUUGUGGAGGGCAGAGAGCAAACCAAGGCAGUCCAUUCCCUCCGUCCAUCUCCUGAACUAUGGAUCAACUCCUAGAGAGAUAGCUCACUGACCCAGGAGUUCCAACAGUAACUAAAAUAGAGGUUUCCUAAGAACAUUGGGAGGUCUCAUAAUAGUCUACUCUCUGGAUGAGGCAUGGAGAGCGUCAUGAGAGACAUCCUUUUAGAAGCAGAAGGUGGUGCCUUGAUGAUGUACAUGAUUGAAAGCUCUCUUUUGAAGAAAGGACCCAUUUCUGCUCAAAGCUCCUUUCCCUAAUUGUGGCCCAAGGAGACCCUGGGCAUGAAUACUGUUUCAUCAGGUCCCUGGGAACUGUGAAUCCAGGGUUUAUCUGUGCUGAUCUUAUUUAGGGUGGAUCUGCAAGUGACUGACAAACAGCCAUACUGGAGCCACACCCACCCUACAACCUAUGUCUGUAUCAUCAACUUUGGCUGUAAUCGUGCCACAGAGGGGCAUACCUGGUGAAAGGGAAGAUGCAGCUCUUCUGGGUGCACCAUGCCCACAGUGGCUCCUGCGUAUUCCAGGCACUUUUGACUUGAUCUCCACCCGAGAGAGCAGCAGGCUCAAAUUGGGACAAUUUUUAUCUUCCCUAUGAUUUGGGGCUUGGCAUUACAGCAUAUCUCCAUAGUAACUAAGGAUCUGUGAGAGCUAGCAUUCUAGUUGCUUCUCUUCAAUGACUCCAGCUGAGGCACAGCCCGACCCAUGGGUCAGAACAAGGCCAGAAGCAGUGCAGGAGGUACCCAGAGCCACUAAGCAGUACUUCAUCUGAGAGUGGACUCAUGUUGGUCUGGGUGUGAGAGGGAGAGUAAAGGACAAGCAGAGGAGGGAAUGGAAGGAAGACUCCACUAUGAUGUGAAGAUGGGUGGAGAGAGGCAAUGACUCCAGUAGGUGAAGAGAAAGACCGGAAAGAGGGUGAGGAAGCAAGGAGAAGGGAAGGCCGGAGGGAAGAGGAAAGAACAGAUAAGCUUGGUGGAGUGAUGAUCUCUUGCCAAGAAACUCAUGAAGUAUAUCAAUUAAUAUGGAAACAUCAUUGCAAGCUUGCCAGAUGCCAAAAGAAGAAUAUUAUCAACUUCCAGAUUAUUUGCUACAGAAUCAUACCUCACCCAGCUUAUGAAUUUACUUCAAGAGUGUACAAAGAUUACAAGGCCAUCAAAUAAGCAGUACUGUAGAAUUCAUUAAAGGAAGAGGGUCUGACAAGCCUGCAAUCCUUCAGUGUUUCCUAAAUCCAUUCCUCUCACGCUAUUAACAACUGCUUACUCAUAGAUCCCCACUCCCCUCAGGGGAGAGCUUCUACAGCAUCAAUGUUCUGGGAAAACCAGUGCCUAAGAUUCUUGGUCAAAGCAGCUUCUUUUGGAAUUGGGCAGCAGUCGAUGCAGACUCAUAACUGUCCAAGUCCUGGGAAUAAGUGACUGUCGGGUGCUCAGCCCUAAAUGGGUCAUCUGUAUCAACCACUGCCAAUACUCUGGGGAUUGCAUGGAAGAGGGAUGUAAGAGCUAGAGCGUAGGGAGGAAUCUGGUGAAUGGUCUUCGGUUAUGGUCAUUGUACUCAUGAACUCCCAGCAGCUAUGGUACCACCCCCACCACCCUGCACACUCACACAAGAUCAGGUCAGUUAAUGUUCCAGCAUGGAUAGGGUUGGGCUUGAGGUGACAUCCCUACUUGAUUGAGGAGGUACCAGCACUUGACAUCUGCUAGGGGAGGAAGGAAUCAUUUUUCCUCAGGGCUGUAACCUCUGCCCAAGCUCUCAUCAAUGGUUGCACAGCUAUGUAUCUGCAGGGAACACUAACUAGACUCAAAGGGUUAUAAGAAAGAAAAGAGGAGCAGUAAGGUUAGAAAGAGGGGCAGGAAGCUGAUAUGAUCAAAAGACACAGUAUACGUGUGAAGCUGUCAAACAGAAAAUACUAUUUAAAAUCUUUUAAAAACAAAACAAAGGGCUGGAGAGAUGGCUCAGCAGUUAAAAAUACUGGCUGCUCUUGCAGAGGACCAGGGUUUGGUUCCUGGCACGGCGUAACAGUUCACACCAUCUGUAAUUCUAGUUCCAGGGCACCUGAUAUUCCUUUUGGCCUCCACGGGCACCAAGCAUGCACACACUGCACAUACAUAUAUAAGGCAAACACUCAUACACACUAAAAAUCCUUUAAAAAAAAUUCAUUAUCAAUAGUGAAAAUUUGAGGCUCAAAACCUAGCUCUAUUACUUUCCCUUUUCUUGAUUAUCUCAAUGCACUGAUUGUAAAGACAAAAUGAAAUAUGUACUUAGCACCACAUCUGGCAUGUGGCUCACUCUGUGGCAAUUCCCCAGAACUUCCAAACUGAAGACGACCUGAAUGGAAACUGAUACUCAUUUUGAACUUGGGGAGGAGGGUCUGUUUGCAAUAAACAUCUAAACUGAGUGUUA